rnacentral:rRNA from 1 species
UACGAAGGGGGCUAGCGUUGCUCGGAAUCACUGGGCGUAAAGCGCGCGUAGGCGGGUCUUUAAGUCAGGGGUGAAAUCCUGGAGCUCAACUCCAGAACUGCCUUUGAUACUGAGGAUCUCGAGUCCGGGAGAGGUGAGUGGAACUCCGAGUGUAGAGGUGAAAUUCGUAGAUAUUCGGAAGAACACCAGUGGCGAAGGCGGCUCACUGGCCCGGUACUGACGCUGAUGUGCGAAAGCGUGGGGAGCAAACAGG